rnacentral:lncRNA from 1 species
AGUGACUUCACUCAGUGUUUAUCUAACAUGAGUGAGUGAAUGGUGUUUGCUGUUUUUUUGGUAAAGGUCCCAGGGGUUGUCGGGUACACAGGUCCUGUCUUUGGCCAUAAGCAAACUGAAAUGAGGCUUGGUCUCCUUCCCAGGAUCCCACACCAUGUCUCACAUGGUAGACCCCAGUGGGAAGUAUGUGACUGCCUGACUCAGGUGCCUCUCGUGGUCCAAGCCAUCCCUGCCCUGUCCCUUCCCUGGUUGUCGCCAGACCUGGAGCCCCUGCUCCUUCACUUUGCAGCCUCCUCUUCUGUCACCAACUGGGAACCCACCUCUUCCUGAAAGUCCUCCCCCACUGACUCACCGGCUUGCCCCGAG